ensembl:lncRNA
CCCAGCGGACCUGGAGGUCAGGCACUACAGUCAGGCAGGGCCGGGCUGGGGCUCUGAUGCGGCCCACAAGCCAGGGGCCUUGGGGUGGGGUCCCGGAGGCUCCUGUAGACAGCCACCACCCAUCCCGAUGCUUCUGGAGUCUGGGGGCUGGGGGACCCCCCUGGCUUCAUCGGGUACCAGGUCAGGUUGUCUGCCGGCCGCGUCUGGCUACCCUUCCAACCACCCGGAGGCUGGGCCUGUCUCUGGCCCCACACCCCACCCCCCGCCUGCCGUGUAGACAAAGCCUUGGAGCAGCAGUUCCUCGCUGUGCCCCAUGUGGUGUUUCCAGAACCUCCGAGCUCGCUGCUGGGCUCCAGACCUGUGAGAGCACACAGUGCCCCUUCUGUGCCUCUGAGGAGCAUGAGGAACUGCUCAGUGACCCGGGGACCAGGUGGCCCUGCUGGGCUCAGAGCCACACAGCUGGCAAUGCUCUGUGGGGCAGGACAGCGGCCUGAGGCCGGGAACUGGGUCUGCUCCAAGGACCCCGCUCCUUCUUUAAGCCCCAGUGCAGGGCCAGAGCGCCUCACUCUGCCUCGGGCCCAGGACACAGUUGGACGUGUGCAGUGGCCCAGAGGCCACUCCCGCCCAGGUGCAGGUGACGGUGGGUUCAGCAGCCUGGUUCCUCCCGGGGAUGCUCAGGCUCCCUAGCACCCUGUGCCUCCCCCUGGCCUGGCCUUCUUGACCUCGGGAGGACACGGGGACAUGGGAAGGGGCCCUGCUCUUUCUCCAGGCUCCUUGGCUCAGCACCUUCCCCAUCCGGCCUCAGCUCUUUCCCAGCUCUGUGACUGUGGUUCUGUGACCCCCAGAGGCUCAAGAAUCGUGAAGCAGGGCUGUCCAUCUGCAGGCCCCGGGGCCGCAGCAGUGGGAGGGUCUUCCCACCCUGGGCACACUACAGGCCUAAAAAUAGCAGGAGCCAUCUGGAGAGCAUGCUGUGCUCAGAGGUGGGGGAAGCUGGUGGCUUUGCAGGAAUUACCAGGCUGGCCUUCGGUGAUCUCCGAUCCUGGCUGCCUCCGAGCAAAAGACCUUUGGUUUGGGGCUCCUGGGGCCAGAACUUUAGAGAACCAGCACUUCCUGGACGUGGCCUGUCCCUGUAGCAUCCUGGGUGUCCGGAAUCCCACGUCCUGUGGCUCCACCAGGAGGCUCCCAGGAAGCAGACCGACCCCGGGACAGAGCCGUCGUUGCGGAAGGCACCACGCGCUGUUUCAACAGAGCAAACGCCCGGCCAAGCACUGUUUCCACCUUGAGACUCCUUAGCAGAGGAAGGGCCGGAGUGCAGCGGGGGCCUGGGGUGGGCGCAGAGAGGAGGCCCGGCGCCGGACUGCCGCCAUGGAACAGGACCUGGCUGGGCCCCUCUGGGUCAAGGGACCAUAAACACCUCCCAGCCUGGAAAGGUCUGGUUGCCAGGGGCCAGUGACCAGUGCCAGCUCUGCCAGAGCUUGCCAGCUGUGAUGUGGCCAAGGGACAGCCCCUCCUGCCCCAGCCACACCCAGCUGUUGCCCAGGAGGCAGCAGGAGGCCCGGGAUGGUGGAGGGUCAGCCGGCCCAGAGAGUCCACC